rnacentral:rRNA from 1 species
GACGAACGCUGGCGGCGUGCUUAACACAUGCAAGUCGAACGAAGUGGCGAACGGGUGAGUAACGCGUAAUCAACCUGCCCUUCAGAGGGGGAAAACAGUUGGAAACGACUGCUAAUACCGCCUACUUACGGUGGGGAUUGCGUGGGAUUAGGUAGUUGGAGGGGUAACGGCCCACCAAGGCGAUGAUCAGUAGCCGGUCUGAGAGGAUGAACGGCCAAAUUGGGACGUAGACACGGCCCAGACGCCUAAGGGAGGCAGCAGUGGGGAAUCUUCCGGAAUGGACGAAAGUCUGACGGAGCAACGCCGCGGGAGUGAUGACGGCCUUCGGGUUGUAAAGCUCUGUUAAUCGGGACGCGGUACCGGAAUAGAAAGCCACGGCUAACUACGUGCCAGCAGCCGCGGUAAUAC